rnacentral:sRNA from 12 species
UACAGGAGGUCCCCAAAUGAUGCGGAGCAUCUUUUUUGCAUGGGACCGACGAUUUGCCGCCGAAGCGCCGGCUGAGGGGGCGAUUCCAUAA